GCCAGAGCUCGGGACUGGUGCUGACCUGCAGGAUGGAGGAGAGAAGAGAAGACUCAUCAACAGAACAAAUGUUGCUGGAACAUUACUUAUAAUGGCAACAAUUGGAAACAAUCAAAGGAUGUCACUAUAGGGACUUGGGUUAAGAAAAUUAUGACACAUCAAAAGAGGCUACGAGAAGAUCUGGUUAAGAGUAUCCUAAGGGAGGAUCUAAGCCUGUUCAUACUCUACAAGCAAAGAAACAUUAAAAAACAAAACAAAAAACCAAAACUUGAAGAAACGAAGUGACCAGUUCACUACCAUUCAACUAUUAAGGGAUAGA
rnacentral:lncRNA from 1 species